GACGAACGCUGGCGGCAUGCCUAAUACAUGCAAGUAGAACGAGACCUUCGGGUGUUGUCUCGUACGGGUGGGUAUGCCGUGGGGUGCUUCACUUGGGUUCGGCCUGACUUGUCGCGGGGGGUGAUAAUUGGGGACGAUGUCUACUACCCCAAGAUGUAGCGGCUAAGGUUGGGCCCGCGUUGAAUUAGCGAUUUGGUAAGGUAAACGUCUACCAAGGCGACGUUCCAUAGCUGGUCCGGGAGCAUGACCAGUCACACUGGGACAGAGACACGGCCCAGACUUCUACGGGAGGCAGCAGUGGGGAAUAUUGGACAAUGGGCGAAAGCCUGAGGCAGCAAUGCCGCGUGAGUGAGGAAGGCGUUAGGGUUGUAAAGCUCUUUUAACCGGGAUGAUAAUGACAGUACCGGAAGAAUAAGCGACGGCUAACUCCGUG
rnacentral:rRNA from 1 species